GUUUCCUUUGAUACAUAUAAUCUAAUUGUAAAUUCCUUGAGUUUAGGGACUGUAUGUUAUACAUAUGUGUGCCCCACCCUCAAAAAUCUGGCAUAGUAUUGUCUCUACUAGGUACUUAAUAAAUGCUUCAUUGAUUGUCUGGAAUUGAAGGUAUCAAAGGGGUAAAGGAAAUAAGCCAAGAUUUUUUACAGAGCAACACAUUAUAAAUUGCAUCUGACAUUAACAUAUCUCAACUAAAAGUUUUGAAAAUGGUAAAAUAGUUAAUAUUUGGAAAACAAUUUAAAUUGAUAUUUUACUAAAAGUCUGUUUCUAAAUCACUAUAUUCACAUAUAUUACUGUGUUUGGUAGUAUUUACUGUUGUGGGAAUUCCCUUAUAAAUAAUUAAAUGUCCGAGGUCUUUUCAAGAUAUAGAUUCAACUUCUUUCAUGUGUUAGCACAGGGCAUACAAUUGAUUGCAUUUUUCCCAUUCUAUACUCUAUUGUGUGCCCACUAAUUAUUCAAUAUAUUAAGACAAACAAACAUCUAUAAACAACAGUCCUAAUUAAAAGGAACUAAUUGUAACACACUAUGACUUUUUAUUCAUUGCAAACACAGCUCCCUUCUAGAUACUAGGUUCAUGUUGCCAAAUUCAGAGAAUUUGAGAAGUAGAGAGGAAAAAAAAAGAAAGCAGGCUUCCUCCUGACCUACAAACAUGAAACAUUUUUUUUUAAAGUUCUGCUUUCCUCCAUUAAAUGAAUAUUAAGUUAAUCUAAUCUCAGACUCGUUUUUUUUAGUUAAGGUUUGCAAUCAAGUCUCUAAAAAUGCAAAUUAUAUAAUAGACUCUUGGAUUUUUCCUGCCCUUUUCCUUCAUCUCAUUAAUCUUUCAAGAAACAUUAUGUACAUCUUUCAGAACAUUGAAUUUUAGAGGAGAUGUUCCUGAAUAAAGAAAAAAAAGUUCUGCCUAAAUGUUUAAUGAAAUUAUUAUGGAAAAGCUUGGAUAGAAGUUUAAGAAAUUAAGUCUUCUCUUCUGUUGUUUAAACCAGAUGACUGUCAAAUUUGAAUUGACUUUCCUUUUUUUUAGUACUUUUUAAAAUUUGAAAGUAUGCAACAGGGCAGUUCUAUAAAACUCUGUACCUGGAAAUAAAAAGCAAUUCAGGAAAAUAAUACAUGUAUAUAGAAUGAAGACCUGAAUUCCCAAUCAGUCUACUUCAGUCUACAGGAAUUUAGCCAAUUUCUUUUUGUUAGUUGUAUUUUGCUUUUUAAAAAUCUUCUAGAUCUACAAAAGCUAAAUGAGGAAAUUAUGAUGAAAUAUUGACCUACAUCAGGAAAUACAAAUAAAAAUAAGGUCAAUGAUUUAAAUAUUUGUUAGAAGACUUUAAGUAACUCCUUUUUCUUUGGCUAUUAAUUUAAUUCCCUUUUCGACUAGCUUAUAUCAAGUAACCCUACCAUCAGUGCAUGGCACGUAGCUGAUGAAGAUCUUGUCCAAGGCAACUGAGCUUUUUAAAGAGCAGACAUUACUGUGGGAUUUAGGAAAGAUUAAACUCUUUGUACUCUUCCAAAAGCAAUAAUUAAAAUGAAUGCAAUCUUUUUAUAUAAACAGCUGUCAUUUCUUCUUCAACAAGGAAUUUUGCCAUCUACCAGUAUCAAAAGGGCUGAUCCUUGAAGGGAGGACUGAAUUUUUAUCAUAUGUCUUAUUUUUUUUUCCAGGAGGAACUCCCAAAAGAACAAUGAGAAGGAACCUGCACUCUGAGGAAGUAUCCGGCAAUUGCAAUGCAAUGUAACCACUGUCUAAACCCAUGAAAACUUCAAGAGCAGUCUAAUACUUUUUCUGAUCUUUGUCUAUCUAAGUAUCUAAUCAAGAUUAGUAUUCAUAUUUAUCAUCUUCCUCUAGCAUUUCUAUACUAAUCCCUUUGGACUUUAGAAGACUAGCAAAUAUGCCCAAAUAUUUGAAAGGCAAAUCUCAGUUAUUAUCUAAAUAACUAAAAAGCCAUAACAUUAAAAAGGAAAAGGAACUUUUGGUUGUUGGGAGGUUUUUUUUGAAGUGGAACAUUCUCUUCCAACUUAAGUGAUAAUCUAUAAAAACUGAUGUUUUUUGUUGUCAUAGAAGCUGGACAUGUAAAAAUCAUGAAAGUUUUCCCUCUGUCAUUUAAGACACAGACUCUAAACGAUGAGAGAGGAGUGAAAAGAAUAUUGAAGUUAAUGUGAGACAUAGAUAAUUGAAUGAUGAGGAAGAAAACACACAUGUUUCAGAUCUCAAAAUUAUGUUCACAGACUAUACUACUUCAUCCUCAGAAAUUCUUUGGGUAGCAGGCAGAAACUGAGGCUCAUAGUUUUAUGGUUUGCUUGAGAACUAAGAGUAAUUAAUGAAAAAUCAUGACAGUGCCUUGGUCCCCAAAUUCUAGGUCAGUUUUUUCCCUCAUUUCUCCAAGGAUGUAUUAACAUAUGAACAGAUAGGUCAUAGAAAAUUAUAAAAAUGGUCCUUAUGCAUAAGAGAAGAUGUUCAAUUUCAAACAUAACAAAUAAAUGCAAUGAUAUAUUCCUUUCUUAACUGUCAGACUGGCAAAGCCAAAAGGUACAACAACAAACUCUGUUGGUGAGUCUGUAGGAAAAUAGGUACUCUCAGAUGUUGUUGGUGGAAUUAGAAUAUGGUACAAAGCCUAAGGAGGAGAAUUUGGUAAAAUUAACUGACUACAGAUGCAUUUAUACUUUGGACUAGCAAUCCCCAACCAUGUAAGCCCAAAAUGACGGAUGAAGAAUAUUUUCCAUUUUGGUAUUAUUUGUUUAGCAAAAAUUAGUAAUAAUUCAAGUGUUAACAAUAUGGAGCUGCCUGAAUUAAUUAUGGUACCUCUGUUCAAUAGAGUAAUAUGCAGUAGUAACAGAGAGAGAGGACUGACUGUAUGUACUGUUAUGGAAAGAAUUUGGGGAUAUGUUCUUUAAAGAGAAAAGCAAGGUACAGGAUAGUAUAUGUAUUGUACUUUGGUGUAAGAAAUGGAGAAAUAUAGAGAAUACAAAAAAGAACAACAUUAGACAUAUGAACAAAAAGCUAACAAAAAUGGUUAAUUAUACAAACCGGAAAUGAGGGAAAAAGAUCGAAAGAGGCAUCUAAGCAUGCAUUUUUUAAAUAUAGUUUUGAUUAUCAAACCAUUUAAAUGCAUUUCCCUUACUUUUUUAAGACAGGAAGAUAAAAAGAAAAAAAUUCUUAAAACUGGAAACAAACUUAGGCAAAUAUAUAUAACUCUAUGUGAACUGAAAACAUAAUCACCAAGAAAGGUUUUUUGUUUUUUUUUUUAAAUAACUUUGGAACAUAGAUCUUUUGGUUUCAUCAUUAGUAGUUUUUUGGUAACAAUUCACACAGUAUUAUAAAGCUUUAUCAUCAAGGUCUAACCAAGGCAAUGGGAAUAAUUUUUUUCAGGGCAUAUAAAUCAGGGAAUCAAUUGCUUAGGUAAUACAAGAACCGAGAAGCCAAGAAGAGAUGGUAAGGUAAGCAGAUUUCAGAGAUAGGAAGACAUCACUCCAACAUCUAUUGGCAGCUAGAACUAACCUGAGCCCAUUCUGGAGAUCAGCCACAUUCAGGGAAAUCUCCCAAGAUAAGGAGAAAGAUAGAAAUACUCUGGUUCUCUCCCCACCCCCCACCCUGGCACCAUCUCCCACUGGUGACUACUACUGACUGGUAAGGAAGCC
rnacentral:lncRNA from 1 species